UUUGGGCUGUAUCUCAGUGGUAGAGCGCUUGCCUAGCAUGUGCAAGGCCCUGGGUUCCAUCCACAGCACAAAA
rnacentral:tRNA from 1 species